ensembl:lncRNA DLEU2 deleted in lymphocytic leukemia 2
GGCACAGCUGCCGCCGUGCCUUUCCGCGCGAGCCCAGAGCUCCGAUCCCUGCGCGGGCUCGAGAGCUCGCCCCGAACGGGGGUCUUCCUCCUCCGCCGUUGACAGGUUUUGACCUGUAGCAGAGAACCAAUUCUGGAGAACAGCCUCACUUCUUUGAUUGAAUACUUACAUAAUGCAUUGGAACAUGACAUGAGAUUAAGUGUAUAAAGCCAAAUGUCCCAUUUAAAGUUUGACAUUUGCAAUAGCAUUCUAUUUAAAAGGUUUAAUAAUGAUAGAAUGAAGACCACAAUAAAAGAGACCUCUACUUAGCUCAGCAAUUCUUACCUUUCUUACCUAUUUGAUGAAGAUGUCUUUUGAAAGGUGUACUGCAAGGAACAAAAUGUUUGUAAAUUCUCCUUUUACCAAGGUAAAGAUCAAAUUUUAUAAAUUUACUUGUUUGUUUAUACAAGGAAAAAUAACUUCAUAUAUUGAAUAUAUUCAAAAGUUUAAGCAUUUAGUUGUAUUGCCCUGUUAAGUUGGCAUAGCAAAUAAAUGCUUUUCUUUUCCUCAUUUUAUUCUUUGUGUUUCCUAACCUAUAGCACUGUGCUGGGCACAGAAUGGACUUCAGUUAAGUUUUUGAUGUAGAAAUGUUUUAUUAUUCUACUUAAAAUCUCCUUAAAAAUAAUUAUGCAUAUUACAUCAAUGUUAUAAUGUUUAAACAUAGAUUUUUUUACAUGCAUUCUUUUUUUCCUGAAAGAAAAUAUUUUUUAUAUUCUUUAGGCGCGAAUGUGUGUUUAAAAAAAAUAAAACCUUGGAGUAAAG